CGGGAUGUGGCGCAGCCUGGUAGCGUACUCGUCUGGGGGGCGAGGGGUCGCAAGUUCAAAUCUUGUCAUCCCGA
rnacentral:tRNA from 2 species